rnacentral:rRNA from 1 species
UACGUAGGCAGCAAGCGUUGUUCGGAGUUACUGGGCGUAAAGCGUGCGCAGGCGGUGAUGUAAGACCGAUGUGAAAUCCCCGGGCUUAACCUGGGAACUGCAUUGGUGACUGGCAGGCUUUGAGUGUGGCAGAGGGAGGUAGAAUUCCACGUGUAGCAGUGAAAUGCGUAGAGAUGUGGAGGAAUACCGAUGCGAAGGCAGCCUCCUGGGCCAACACUGACGCUCAUGCACGAAAGCGUGGGGAGCAAACAGG